rnacentral:rRNA from 1 species
GAUGAACGCUGGCGGCAUGCCUAAUACAUGCAAGUCGAGCGAACAGACGAGGAGCUUGCUCCUCUGACGUUAGCGGCGGACGGGUGAGUAACACGUGGAUAACCUACCUAUAAGACUGGGAUAACUUCGGGAAACCGGAGCUAAUACCGGAUAAUAUAUUGAACCGCAUGGUUCAAUAGUGAAAGACGGUUUUGCUGUCACUUAUAGAUGGAUCCGCGCCGCAUUAGCUAGUUGGUAAGGUAACGGCUUACCAAGGCAACGAUGCGUAGCCGACCUGAGAGGGUGAUCGGCCACACUGGAACUGAGACACGGUCCAGACUCCUACGGGAGGCAGCAGUAGGGAAUCUUCCGCAAUGGGCGAAAGCCUGACGGAGCAACGCCGCGUGAGUGAUGAAGGUCUUCGGAUCGUAAAACUCUGUUAUUAGGGAAGAACAAAUGUGUAAGUAACUAUGCACGUCUUGACGGUACCUAAUCAGAAAGCCACGACUAACUACGUG